rnacentral:rRNA from 1 species
CGCAAUCGCCCUUCGGGGUGAGCAGGCGCGAAAACUUUACAAUGCGGGAAACCGUGAUAAGGGAACUCCGAGUGCCCGUAAAAUCGGGCUGUCCAUCUGUUUAAAUAACAGGUGAAGAAAGGGCCGGGCAAGACCGGUGCCAGCCGCCGCGGUAAUACCGGCGGCUCGAGUGGUGGCCACUAUUACUGGGCUUAAAGCGUUCGUAGCUGGUCUGUUAAGUCUCUGGGGAAAUCUACUGGCUUAACCAAUAGGCGUUUCAGGGAUACUGGCAGACUAGGGACCGGGAGAGGUGAGGGGUACUCCAGGGGUAGGAGUGAAAUCCUGUAAUCCUUGGGGGACCACCUGUGGCGAAGGCGCCUCACCAGAACGGCUCCGACAGUGAGGGACGAAAGCUGGGGGAGCAAACCGGAUUAGAUACCCGGGUAGUCCCAGCCGUAAACGAUGCGCGUUAGGUGUAUCGGUGACCACGAGUCACCGAGGUGCCGAAGAGAAAUCGUGAAACGUGCCGCCUGGGAAGUACGGUCGCAAGGCUGAAACUUAAAGGAAUUGGCGGGGGAGCAC